rnacentral:rRNA from 1 species
UGCAGUCGAGCGGUAGAGAGAAGCUUGCUUCUCUUGAGAGCGGCGGACGGGUGAGUAAUGCCUAGGAAUCUGCCUGGUAGUGGGGGAUAACGUUCGGAAACGGACGCUAAUACCGCAUACGUCCUACGGGAGAAAGCAGGGGACCUUCGGGCCUUGCGCUAUCAGAUGAGCCUAGGUCGGAUUAGCUAGUUGGUGAGGUAAUGGCUCACCAAGGCGACGAUCCGUAACUGGUCUGAGAGGAUGAUCAGUCACACUGGAACUGAGACACGGUCCAGACUCCUACGGGAGGCAGCAGUGGGGAAUAUUGGACAAUGGGCGAAAGCCUGAUCCAGCCAUGCCGCGUGUGUGAAGAAGGUCUUCGGAUUGUAAAGCACUUUAAGUUGGGAGGAAGGGUUGUAGAUUAAUACUCUGCAAUUUUGACGUUACCGACAGAAUAAGCACCGGCUAACUCUGUGCCAG